GGGGGUGUAGCUCAAUUGGGAGAGCGCCUGGUUUGCAACCAGGAGGUUGCCGGUUCGAUCCCGACCACCUCCA
rnacentral:tRNA from 2 species